rnacentral:lncRNA from 1 species
UUUCUAUUUAUAGUAUGUUUUUUUCUGUUUGAAUUGUGAUAUAGUGAUGAUGUUAAGCUUGGUUGAAAAUUUUCAAGACAAUGCAUAUGUACGUAAUAUAUGAUUUCUCAUAUCGUCUUUGGUGGACGCACUUUGAUUUAUUGGUAUUUGAUAAUACCGUGCUUGAAGACAUCGAAAAAUUAAAUCUUUACCAUUACAGACUUAAAAGACUAAUAGGUCUUUUAGUUCAUGGAUCUCUUAUCCUUGGUUUCUGUAUAUUUGGUGCUUUAUAGAAGGCAUAGGCCUAUGGAUAUGUACUAACCAGGCAUAAGCACUUUCCACUUGUCAUGUAUUAUUACAAGAAAACUUUCAGUUUGCAUGAUGUCGAGAAAAUUGUGUUGGCUUGUUUAUAUUAUUGUAUAUUUACCUUUUCUUUCCUGGCUGUGAUGAAACUUGAUACCGGGCAUAAUGUUAGGUCAUAUUCUUCAUCCCAAAGAACUUUAUUUUAUUAUAGUCUUUGUGUGAGGGGUUGACUAGAUAGAGCUUACAUAGUUUGUCGUGAUUGCUAAAGAUAUAGUUGUUUUGGAUCUUGGAGUAGAUCUACCAAUGAAUUGAAUGGCAUGGCAAUAAAGGAUUCAUAUGGCUACCUUUAAAUUAAUUAAGGACAAGGCUUUGUGAAUGGUAUUUGAUGGAAAUAAUGUGAGAAUAAUUAAUUUGUCUCUCAGUUGAUAUAUAUAAACUGCCUUUCCUGUCUAUAAUUU